AUAUUCCUUCGGGGCAGGGUGAAAGUCCCUACCGGCGGUACAGUCCGCGAAGCCCGCGCAAUCGAGGCGAUAAAGCCGCGCCCGGGCCCGAUCCGGUGAAACUCCGGAACCGACGGUGACAGUCCGGAUGAGAGAAGGAGGUU
rnacentral:ncRNA from 2 species